GACCUGAAGGGAUCACAUAACGCGCACACACACACACACACAAACACUGCUUUCAUAGUCUCCUAAGGGCAGAUCAAUUCAAACAGCAAAUUUUUCCUUUUCAUACCUCAACAAUUUUCUGAUGACCUCUGCUUUCACUGCAGCUUCAUCAGGAACACAAACAUUAAGCAAAAAGUCCCUGCUGUCAGACUUCAUACCAGCACAAGUUAUCUCACUUUUCACUGUCUAUCGAUCACUAACACCAUGGUUCAACUCCUUCACCUAGGAUGAGUCAGUGAAAAAGAAAAGAAAGAAAAUACACACGCAAUCAUCAAGAUCAAGUUGAGUUAGUUUCUUCCUGUGCGUCUUCAUGGGAACUUACUCAGAAUGUUCAAGUCUCCCUUUUCUCAGACAGAUUUGGAUUCCUUCAUUAUUUGCAGGUUGUAGAAAAAUGUAGCAGCUCAUUUAACAAGAGCGAGAACAUCUGAUCAUACAUGUGGGUUUCUGUUUGCAAGAAACCCACAGGUUUGUGGGUAAACCUGUGGGUUUGAGAGAAAUUCCACUACAAAUGUUUGUGUUUGCUCAUUUUCAGCUUUAAAAACCAAGAAUAAAGCAUCACAACUUCCAAUAUAUAAACAUGCAAAAUUAUAAUGUUUUGUGCAGCUGACCCUGCAGAAUUCAUGUGACUGAGUCCAAACCUUUGUACAACAGUUAGGCUUGAUUAGUGAUGCUAAUAUCAUGAUUGUGGUUGGGUUUUGUUCCCCAUUCUUAUUGUCUUUUGAGUUUUGACCUUUGAAUCUUUUAUAUUUAACCUUCAUUUCCUGAAACAGUUUUGUUCUUCUGUUUUCUGCUUAGCCUGACUGACUCAAAAACAUUUUGUUUGGUGGAACAAAGAAAUUACCCUGAAUCUGAGCGGCAGCUGCAAUAUAAGCAGUUUGAAUUAUUUAAAGGUGAAGGAGUGGAGCUUUAAUUCUUUCUUUAUUAUCUCCUUAAGCAUAUGAAACACUGAACUGACCUUAAUGAAAGAAAAGGGGAUUAUUUAAGCCAUAAUUCUCUGCAGCAGAAUUUAAACUAACUUUUGAAUAAUUUAAUAUAGCAUUCGCAACUGGGAUUCAUGCAAGUUAAAUAAGAGUGAGGUUUGGCAGCGAGGGAGAUCACCAUGACAACAGAAUAUUUCAUGUUUAAUGUGCUAUUGAAACCCACCCAUUACUCUUUGUCAUUCUACAAUUUCUGUCAAAGAAAGAUGGACUUCAAUACAAACAUAAAGCGGAGAAAUGCCAGUGAUUUGCUUUGUGCUGAUUCCAAGUCCGGAUAAAUGCAGAGUAUUUUAUCAAGAAGGGAAUCCGAUGUUAAAAGCCUAAGCCAAAUCAAAUAUACGAAUCACAAACAUGGACUUCAGACUAUCGUGUUGAGGAUGAGUAGUAUCAGGAUUUAGUACAUCAGAGGGACAAAUCAUGUUAGAUGCUUUGUAGAUAAAGUCAGGAAGGCCAGAGUGAUAUGCUUGGAUUUUUUCAUAAGUGAAGGAAUGUUUGUAUUGGUAUAAGGAUGCUGAGGUUGGAGCGAAGCAGCCAGGAGGCUGAGGGCACGACCAAAAAGGAAGCUUAUGGAUGUAGAGGGGGAAAAAAGACAUGAAGUUAGUUGGUAUGAGGGUAAAAGAUACACAAGAUGGGACAAAAUGCUUUAUUGUAUCACAAUGGAAACAUUUCUUAAAAGAAAAAAAAGAGAGAAAAAGAAAAAGGAAAAACACAAAGGUGGACUUUAUCCUGAUGAAGUACAAUUCUGACUUUAGGUUUUAGGAAUAUUAUUUUAUGUCUUACCACCAAAUGAUCAAUUGAGAAGAGGGCGAUAUCACACAUUCUGGAUAAUGAGGUUAUGAAAUAUUCAUAAUCUUUUUCAUGCAUGCUGCUUUCAUAUCAAGAUGUUCAUCACCACAUUUACAGUUUGUCCAUUAACAUGUAGCCUUUUUUCCAUCAAAGUAAAAUCUUUUCCAAACCUCAUGGUGUCUAUACAUGAUACUUACAAAGCAAUAAAAUAUGUGAAAGUCAAUGUUUUUCAUUCCGACUCUAAAUAAAGUCAGAAUGCUGAA